rnacentral:rRNA from 1 species
GCUUUCGGAGCUAACGCGUUAAGUAGACCGCCUGGGGAGUACGGUCGCAAGAUUAAAACUCAAAUGAAUUGACGGGGGCCCGCACAAGCGGUGGAGCAUGUGGUUUAAUUCGAUGCAACGCGAAGAACCUUACCUACUCUUGACAUCCAGAGAACUUUCCAGAGAUGGAUUGGUGCCUUCGGGAACUCUGAGACAGGUGCUGCAUGGCUGUCGUCAGCUCGUGUCGUGAGAUGUUGGGUUAA